rnacentral:rRNA from 1 species
UACAGAGGGUGCAAGCGUUGUUCGGAAUUAUUGGGCGUAAAGCGCGUGUAGGCGGUUUGUUAAGUCGAGUGUGAAAUCCCUGGGCUCAACCGAGGAAGUGCAUUCGAAACUAACUGGCGUAGAAGACGGUAGAGGAAGGUGGAAUUCCAAGUGUAGAGGUGAAAUUCGUAGAUAUUGGGAAGAACAACCAGUGGCGAAGGCGGCUCACUGGCUCGUAACUGACGCUCAUGCACGAACAGCGUGGGGAUCAAACAGG